rnacentral:rRNA from 1 species
AGCGAACGCUGGCGGCAGGCUUAACACAUGCAAGUCGAACGCAUCCUUCGGGGUGAGUGGCAGACGGGUGAGUAACACGUGGGAACGUACCCUUCGAUCUGGGAUAACUUCGGGAAACUGGAGCUAAUACCGGAUACGCCCUUUUGGGGAAAGGUUUACUGUCGAAGGAUCGGCCCGCGUCUGAUUAGCUAGUUGGUGGGGUAACGGCCUACCAAGGCGACGAUCAGUAGCUGGUCUGAGAGGAUGAUCAGCCACACUGGGACUGAGACACGGCCCAGACUCCUACGGGAAGCAGGAGUGGGGAAUAUUGGACAAUGGGCGCAAGCCUGAUCCAGCCAUGCCGCGUGAGUGAUGAAGGCCUUAGGGUUGUAAAGCUCUUUUGUCCGGGACGAUAAUGACGGUACCGGAAGAAUAAGCCCCGGCUAACUUCGUG